rnacentral:rRNA from 1 species
GACGAACGCUGGCGGCGUGCUUAACACAUGCAAGUCGAGCGAUGAAGCUCCUUCGGGAGUGGAUUAGCGGCGGACGGGUGAGUAACACGUGGGUAACCUGCCUCAUAGAGGGGAAUAGCCUUCCGAAAGGAAGAUUAAUACCGCAUAAGGUUGUAGUUUCGCAUGAAACAGCAAUUAAAGGAGUAAUCCGCUAUGAGAUGGACCCGCGUCGCAUUAGCUAGUUGGUGAGGUAACGGCUCACCAAGGCGACGAUGCGUAGCCGACCUGAGAGGGUGAUCGGCCACAUUGGGACUGAGACACGGCCCAGACUCCUACGGGAGGCAGCAGUGGGGAAUAUUGCACAAUGGGGAAACCCUGAUGCAGCAACGCCGCGUGAGUGAUGAAGGUCUUCGGAUUGUAAAGCUCUGUCUUUGGGGACGAUAAUGACGGUACCCAAGGAGGAAGCCACGGCUAACUACGUG